CAGUCUGACCUGGGUUGACCUCCUGACCUGCCCGAGUCGGUUUUCUGCGAGACACGUGUACACUCCCCAGUCUGUCGGCUCGUGAACUUUAACCUCAAUGGUGGUGCU